GAUGAAGAACGUAGCGAAAUGCGAUAAGUAAUGUGAAUUGCAGAAUUCAGUGAAUCAUCGAAUCUUUGAACGCACAUUGCGCCCCCUGGUAUUCCGGGGGGCAUGCCUGUUCGAGCGUCAUUUCACCACUCAAGCCUCGCUUGGUAUUGGGCAACGCGGUCCGCCGCGUGCCUCAAAUCGACCGGCUGGGUCUUCUGUCCCCUAAGCGUUGUGGAAACUAUUCGCUAAAGGGUGCUCGAGAGGCUACGCCGUAAAACAAACCCAUUUCUAAGGUUGACCUCGGAUCAGGUAGGGAUACCCGCUGAACUUAAGCAUAUCAAUAAGCGGAGGA
rnacentral:misc_RNA from 1 species